AAUAGAUACCCCGGUAGUCCUAGCCGUAAACGAUGACCACUAGACGUCUGAGGUAUCGACCCCUUAGGUGUCGAAGCAAACGCGAGAAGUGGUCCGCCUGGGGAGUACGGUCGCAAGAUUAAAACUCAAAGGAAUUGACGGGGACCCGCACAAGCAGCGGAGCGUGUGGUUUAAUUCGAAGCAACGCGAAGAACCUUACCAGGGUUUGACAUGCAUUCGCACCAGCGAGAGAUCGCUGUCCCUUCGGGGCGGAUGCACAGGUGCUGCAUGGCUGUCGUCAGCUCGUGUCGUGAGAUGUCGGGUUAAGUCCCGCAACGAGCGCAACCCCUGUCGUCGGUUACUGGUGUCCGACGAGACUGCCGCGAUCAACGUGGAGGAAGGUGGGGAUGACGUCAAGUCAGCACGGCCCUUACGUCCUGGGCUACACACACGCUACAAUGGCUGGUACAAUGAGUCGCCAACCCGCGAGGGGGAGCCAAUCUCAACAAAAACCAGUCUCAGUUCAGAUUGGAGGCUGCAACCCGCCUCC
rnacentral:rRNA from 1 species